AGGUGUUUUUGAAUGCUGAAGGCUCUUCAGAUAACUUCAAUCAUUUCCGGACAAAGUUAACUGGUUUGACCAGGUGAUUGUUCUUCUUGUCUUUUAAUCAAUUCAGACAGAUGAAGAUAGACUCUUAUGCUUACUUAGGAUGAGUAACGUUUAGAUCAGUUGUUCCAUCUCUGUAGUCAGAUACUGUCAUAGGUUUAGAUGAACUAGUUGAGACGUUUUAACAACCAUAUAAAAUGCUAACUGCAAUGGCUUGUAUAUUUGUAUAAACAGCAUAACGAAAACCUACUUUGAAAAUCUGGUGAAAGCUCUGGAGAAUGGUCUUGCUGAUGUGGAUGCUACGCAAGGGGCUAGCAGCAAAUCAACAAGCUCUAAAUCUAGCAAGACAAAAGGCGGUGGGAAAGGUAAAGGAAGCUACAAAAGUAAAAACUCAGAUGGAAAUUGAGAUCUCUCUCAGGUUCCAGUUACAAUCCCUCUCUAUAGUGUGCCAGCUCACUUGGAAGUAAAAGAAAAGACUUUUUAAGAGUUAGUUGAGCAAAAUUGGAGAAAGGAUUGGGGUUUGUUGCAGUAUUUUUACAGUAGCCUCCUCUGAGUUUGAAGGCACACUAUUGCACACACAAGUGAACUGUCUUUCUCUGUCUUAUGAGUGUGCAAUAGUUUAUUAUAAACUACCCUAAAUGUUGUAUAGUAUAAAAGAAUAUUCACAUUGUUACGUUGGCUCUUUGAUUGCCUUUAUUGGCUUUCUCUGCUAAUGCAAUGUCUAUGAACACCAACUGGAGUGUCUUUUGUCUGAAGUUUCUCCAUGUCGAGAAAUGCAUCUUUGUAUUAUUAGUCUCUUCAAAAACAUCUCAAGAAAGUUCAAAAUCUGCUACUUUCUGUGGGUUGCGUUACAAUAAUAAUAUUUUCCUACAAUAAAUAACUGUUUCUAUGUGAUAUAUAACCAAACCUUUGGGUUUAAGAAGUGUUGUUAAUCAUCAUAUUAAUUUAAGGUAACUAUUAGUUCCUUAUUUAAAGUUAUAGGGUCAAUAUAUAAUAUAAGAUAAUAUUGAGGGAGCUAUUUCUAAAUAAUUCAAACUUGUAAGGAGAAUAUCCUCGGACUAGGAAAGCCAGGGAUAGAGAUAUCCUGACUUCCAAACAGGGAGUGAGGGAAACAAAAUUUAUUAAAGCAGCAGCCGGAAAAAAAAACAAAAAAACAAAAAGAAAGAAAGAAAAAAAAAAAACGCAAGAAGAAGAAGAAGAAGAGCAACGAAGACGAACCAGUCUCCCACUGUCACGCCUCUCGAUCUUUCUCCCCUUUCACCUUCCUCCAAUCUCCAGGUUCUUUCGCGUCUUCACGUCUAUCACCAAUCCGUUACGCUUGCUCGAUUUCGCAUUAUCUCUCCGUUUGCUUGAUUUUGGCUCCUCUUUGAGCUCUGUUAGCUUAAUAAUGCAAUCGGAUGAACAGCUGAUAAUCAGCGAUAAUCUCUUCUCCGUUGUGUAGAUUUACUCGAGCCGAUCACACGUCCGGCUCCAGUUUCUAGGGCUUGGUUUAGGAUUUUGAAUUGUUUUAGCUCGGAGGUCUAUGAUGAAUGCAUUGUCUAUUAGCUGUGUAUUUCAUUUUCUGUUGGCUAUGGUGCUGGAAUGUGAUGUGUGAAUCUUUGAGUUUUGUAGUUUAUGGAAGUAAGAUAGUCAAUCAGGGCGGGCGUAAGCAUUUUCACUAUGCAUCCGAAGGGAUCGAGUCAAGGAGAUGGUUCGGAUACUAAGCCCGUUAGAAGCAGCGAUAGGCUUAGGAGGAGACCUAAAUUGUAUGGUCGCUCAUACUAUUACUACUCGCCGAACUUGCAUAACAGGAAAAGAAACACGAAGACUAGAACGGCGGCUUCGCAGAUCGCUAAGAUGCUGCAUAAAGGGAACAAGCCAGCUCGGGCAUCGAACGCCACGGUGAGCAUCAUACACCAACGUUAAGAAGAGUUAAUGUUAUUUAGUUUACUGCAAUUAAGAGCAUUUCUACUUCCCCUGAGUAUGAAGUUUCACUUUGAUCAUUUUAAUCCAACGAUAGUGGCUUUUGUUCUAUUAGUGACCUGUAUUGCAUACUGUUUAUCUUGGUCUGAUUAAACUAGAAUGUUGAUAACAUUGCUAAUGACGAUACAGCCAAUUGCAUCCGACCUCCGGCGUUCCACUAGGAAGAGAAGACUUUCUGUAAAUCUUGAAGACUAUACUGACAGUUCUGGAGGGGAGGAUGAAGAUAUGAUGGUCAGGAUAUUUUCCUCUUGAUUAUUUUAAACCCUUGUAAAUAUGAAUUUUGUUGGUAAAUUCUUUAUCCCCAUCUCUGAAGAUAUCCAACUUUGGUUGUUAGUUGUUACUCUUUCUCUGCAAUUUUGGAUUGCAACCUUGUUUCUAUCUGAUGUCUUAGUAUUUAAUCCUGUGAUGGAAGUGCUAAUGAAUGCAUCUUUAUAUGUAUGAAUGAAUCUUUAGGCUUUGCCUUAAUGCAUGGACAGCUCACGGGGAAAGAACUGGUGGUUUUUAUGCCUGCAACCGGUAUGAGUCGGCUAAGCAAGAAGGACUGGUAGGACCACUUCUACUUCUUUGAUAAUUUGUAGUAGUAUUUUCUGUAAGUUACUUAUGACUUUUAGUACUUUGUUUGUUGAUAUCAAUUGAAUUGUUCGUUUUUAGUAUGAUGAGGCUGAAAAGAGGAGAGAGAUGGCAAAAAAUUCACUCGAGAGAUACACUCAUUAUUAUGAACGCUGGGCAAGUAAUCAGACGGUAUGCACAAUUUUUUUAUACUUAUCCCUUAAGACACUUGAAACCUUAAAGUGUUGUAUACGCUCUACUUUUGUUUCUAAGAUAGAGAAUCAUGAGAUAUUUUGACUUCCGGCUGUGAUAAAUAGCAUUGUAAUGAGCUUUGACAAGAUAAAAAAAAUUUGUAGCAUGUUGGAGCUAACUUGAUUUUUUAUUUGGUUUUCCUUGUUUGUGAGCAUCGAAAAUGUGAAACAUGUGAAGGGUGUGGUUGAGUAAUCGCUUUUUACUGACAUGUAUCUUCUAGUUUAUAAGGUGAACCAACUAAUGUAUUUUUAGGCUAUUAACAGCCCAUUAACUAGAUAAGUUUAGAGUCUCGUUUCUUACUUGGCUGCAACACUUGCAAGACAUUAUAUUCUAUACCUAUGUCAAGAGAUUUCUCGUCUUCCUUUCAUAUGUAUUUACUUGCUUGUCUGAUUUGGCAGUCGAGGCAAAAAGCUGUGGAGGAUCUGCAGAAAGCGCAAUUGGAGAAGGUAAAAAAAUUCUAUGGAGUGGAAGAAUGAUUUGAGCUAACAGCUAAUUUCAUUUGCAACACCAAAUUGUAUCCAGACCUUUAAUAGGAACUGCAGUGUUGUUACAUUGUUGAUUUUGAUUUGAAUUUGUGGUGCUCAAAUGCUGUUGUCAAAUUUUUCUUGUUGUUUUGCUAGCUUGAGAAGCUUAGUGACAUUCAAUGCACUCCAGAAUCUCAGCUGAAGUUCAUCACAGAGGCGUGGCUUCAGGUUAGCAGCUAAAGUAUUAAAUAACUAUGACAUUUAUGUACCACAUCUCUCUGAAUGUUCCCCCUCCAUUAUACCUUUACAGAUCAUUGAAUGCAGACGUGUACUGAAAUGGACAUAUGCGUAUGGAUACUAUCUACCUGAUCACGAUAAGAAACAAUUUUUCGAAUACUUGCAAGGUCAGAGUCCUCAUUAGUUGAUUCUAUUCUGGGAAAGCUAGUUGUGUCAGUGAGCCAUUGAAGUUUGAAAUUUUGUCUUGAUGGUUUGAUCAGGGGAGGCUGAGUCAGGUUUGGAGAGGCUCCACAAAUGCGUAGAGAAGGAACUGGAGGUGUUUUUGAAUGCUGAAGGCUCUUCAGAUAACUUCAAUCAUUUCCGGACAAAGUUAACUGGUUUGACCAGGUGAUUGUUCUUCUUGUCUUUUAAUCAAUUCAGACAGAUGAAGAUAGACUCUUAUGCUUACUUAGGAUGAGUAACGUUUAGAUCAGUUGUUCCAUCUCUGUAGUCAGAUACUGUCAUAGGUUUAGAUGAACUAGUUGAGACGUUUUAACAACCAUAUAAAAUGCUAACUGCAAUGGCUUGUAUAUUUGUAUAAACAGCAUAACGAAAACCUACUUUGAAAAUCUGGUGAAAGCUCUGGAGAAUGGUCUUGCUGAUGUGGAUGCUACGCAAGGGGCUAGCAGCAAAUCAACAAGCUCUAAAUCUAGCAAGACAAAAGGCGGUGGGAAAGGUAAAGGAAGCUACAAAAGUAAAAAC
rnacentral:lncRNA from 1 species